AUUACAGGAUUCUAAAAUGUGCUUGGCAGUGUAAGAGCUAUGUUGUUGCAGUUGGAUUUAUCUAAAUCGAGGGCUGGUUAUCUAUACUGUCACCGUGAUUUCGCUGGACGGAUAUGAUAAGGAUAAAUUAAAAGUGAGAAGAGGUAAUAGUGAGCUGAGACUGAAUUAAUAAGGAUAAAGGAUAAGUAUUUCAAUCUUAUUUUAUAAUCUUAUGAAUAUAUA